CUCCACUGGUCUACGUUUAUAUAAAAUGCUCAACCCAUCUCAUUUCACUCCUCAAUUUUUAUAUUUUAUUUUGUUUUUUUUUUAUAUAAAUUUUACUCUACGUCUCCAUAACUUUUCCAUUCCUGUCUCUAUUGUAACAGCUCACACACAUCGCGUAAUACUCAUUUCUACUGCAGUAACUCAUGCAUUCUUGUAUAUAUUGAGUAACUAGGGGAGAAAAUUUUUUUUUACCACAUGGAACUAUAGUUUAGCUCUGUAGUAAUUAUUGUUUUUGUAACAACAUCAGUAAAAUGAAUGUGAAAUAUAAUUAAAAUUCCAAAAGACCAACUAAUCUUUGGAGACUGAUUAGAACCUUUUAUAUUUUUUUUGUUUUAUCCUUUUGUGAGGUUUGUCUUAACAACAACAGUCCAGAGACAUCCGUUUGUGAUGCAAUACUCAAGACACAUUUCAUUAUAUUCAUUUUCUUAGAAAAAUUUGUUUAUUUAAAAUUAUAAUGCAUUCGACAACAAUGACAUUUAAAUUUACAAUUGAUUAAAAAAUGUAUAAUGAUAUUUUCUAUGUAUCAAAGUUAAUACCUUACAUUUACUGUACUAUAAUGUAUACAGUGUACUGUAGUAUACUGUACUGUAAUGUACUGCAGUGCACUGUAGUGGUCUAUAUUAUAAUGUAAAAGGUAUGUAGUAGGCCUCAUGCCCUGAUAAUUCAGAAAUGUGUAUAAAAAAUAAACAUAUACACAUACACUAUACAUGCUAUAUUAUAUAUAUAUAAUUGUUACAGUAAUAUAUUUUGAAGAGAAAUGUUGAAGCUUGAGUAACAUUUUGAACACACGAUUUGCUGUUAUAAAGAGGUAACCCGAGUGAUUUCGGGUUAUUUGCUAUCAUAAAGUGGUAACUCGAGUGACUUCAGGUUAUUUGCUAUCAUAAAGAGGUAACCCGAGUGACUUCGGGUUAUUUGCUAUCAUAAAGAGGUAACCCGAGUGACUUUGGGUUAUUUGCUAUCAUAAAGAGGUAACCCGAGUGACUUCGGGUUAUUUGCUAUCAUAAAGAGGUAACCCAAGUGACUUCAGGUUAUUUGAAAUGUCUUUGUGGGGGACAACAUUAAUUACUUCUCUUUGUUAUUUAAUGCCAGAUUGGACUAUAAAUGUCAUAAAUAUUGAUUAUAUGAUGGCACUUGAGACAAGGCUGUGCUUUGUUGAUACAAGGCUUUAAAUCCAAGGUUGUGUUUUGAUAUAAAUGGUACAAAGGCCACUCUGUUGGCCUCAUUCUGUGUGGAGUUGGUGUUGCGCUACAGGCCUGUCAACCAUGGGAGGUGUAUUAUGGCCACCACAGUACCUCAAUGACCAGCCCCCAAGUUGACUUUAAUCCUCAGCUGUGGUUGAGACCAGUGUAAACUGAAGGGAGGGUAUACUGUAGUACACCCUUUGGUAUAUGUUUUAUAGCAUGGAAGUUGCAAACUCAAAUGAUAGCAUAUCUAGAAGAUUUAUUUUAUGCAUUUAUACAUUUUAUUCAGAUUAGAUUGAUUUACUUUAUACAUUUCAUGAAUAAUGAUAGUUCUGUUUUUAUAUAUCUUUCAGAGGUUUAUUAUUUCUCAUUUAAUUUUAUUCCCUACAAUUGCAUUUGUGACACGAUUAGCAAAAAUAUCUUGCGUGCAAUUUUUUUUAAGGGAUUCAUUGUCAAUUGAAACAGAAUUAAUCAUAUUUGGUUACACUGCAAGAUAUGGUUUUUCUAGUCAUUUCACAUUUUGUAUUGCUAAUAAGGUCUCUAUUUCAUCCCUGCAUUCAAUUUUUGUUAACUGCUCCAUGUUAAUGUACAAUAAGCUACAUAUUCAUUUUGUUGUUAACAACCCUGUUUUGAAUAUCAGCAAAAUUGUAAUAUAAUCUAAAAAGUAAGUAUUUAAGGCUUAUUUAUAAAUAGCAACAAAAUUAAUCACCCGUGUAAGAUAUUUUAUACAAUUUCCACAUGGAAAGUUAUCAGACAUAAUGUGUAUAUGAUGGUAAUGCCACAAACUCUUUGGAAUUUGGUUCAAGAAAAGUUUAUUUCUGUAUCUCAAGUUCUAAAUAUUUUAAACUCAAAGAAAUAUAUACAGUAUAUAUUUCUUAAACAAAAAAAAAAUUAUAAUUAUAAAGUACAACAUUUUAUCUUAUAAUCUGUGAAGCUUGGCCAAGAGUUAUGCACUAUUAUGCAAAGUUUUAGAUUAUUAUUAUUAUUUAUUUAUGGGGGAGAGAGUAGAAGUUUGCCGAGCUUUGGCCAGUUUCAUUUUCAUUCUUUGUGCCUGAAAGUAGAUUAAACAUGAGGUAAAUAUA
rnacentral:lncRNA from 1 species